GGUUAAGCGAAUAAGCGUACACGGUGGAUGCCUAGGCAAUCAGAGGCGAUGAAGGACGUGCUAAUCUGCGAAAAGCGUCGGUAAGGUGAUAUGAACCGUUAUACCCGACGAUAUCCGAAUGGGGAAACCCAGUAUCCAAUGGAUACUAUCAUUAACUGAAUCCAUAGGUUAAUGAGGCGAACCGGGAGAACUGAAACAUCUCAGUACCCCGAGGAAAAGAAAUCAACCGAGAUUCCCCUAGUAGCGGCGAGCGAACGGGGAGCAGCCCAGAGUCUUAAUCAAUAGCAGUGUCAGGAGAACGGUCUGGAAAGUCCGGCAGUAAAGGGUGAUAGCCCCGUAUCUGAAGAUGCUGUUAUUGUGAACUCGACGAGUAGGGCGGGACACGUGUUAUCCUGUCUGAAUAUGGGGGGACCAUCCUCCAAGGCUAAAUACUCCUGAUUGACCGAUAGUGAACCAGUACCGUGAGGGAAAGGCGAAAAGAACCCCGGCGAGGGGAGUGAAAAAGAACCUGAAACCGUGUACGUACAAGCAGUAGGAGCCUCUUUAUGGGGUGACUGCGUACCUUUUGUAUAAUGGGUCAGCGACUUAUAUUCUGUAGCGAGGUUAACCGUAUAGGGGAGCCGUAGGGAAACCGAGUCUUAACUGGGCGAAUGAGUUGCAGGGUAUAGACCCGAAACCCGGUGAUCUAUCCAUGGGCAGGUUGAAGGUUGGGUAACACUAACUGGAGGACCGAACCGACUAAUGUUGAAAAAUUAGCGGAUGACUUGUGGAUGGGGGUGAAAGGCCAAUCAAACCGGGAGAUAGCUGGUUCUCCCCGAAAGCUAUUUAGGUAGCGCCUCGUGAACUCAUCUUCGGGGGUAGAGCACUGUUUCGACUAGGGGGUCAUCCCGACUUACCAACUCGAUGCAAACUGCGAAUACCGAAGAAUGUUAUCACGGGAGACACACGGCGGGUGCUAACGUCCGUCGUGAAGAGGGAAACAACCCAGACCGCCAGCUAAGGUCCCAAAGUCAUGGUUAAGUGGGAAACGAAGUGGGAAGGCUCAGACAGCCAGGAUGUUGGCUUAGAAGCAGCCAUCAUUUAAAGAAAGCGUAAUAGCUCACUGGUCGAGUCGGCCCGCGCGGAAGAUGUAACGGGGCUAAACCAUGCACCGAAGCUGCGGCAGCGACACAAAGUGUUGUUGGGUAGGGGAGCGUUCUGUAAGCCUGCGAAGGUGUACUGUGAGGUAUGCUGGAGGUAUCAGAAGUGCGAAUGCUGACAUAAGUAACGAUAAUGCGGGUGAAAAACCCGCACGCCGGAAGACCAAGGGUUCCUGUCCAACGUUAAUCGGGGCAGGGUGAGUCGACCCCUAAGGCGAGGCUGAAAAGCGUAGUCGAUGGGAAACGGGUUAAUAUUCCCGUACUGGUGGUAACUGCGAUGGGGGAACGGAGAAGGCUAGGUUGUCCGGGCGACGGUCGUCCCGGUUCAAGCAGGUAGGCAGAGUGAUUAGGCAAAUCCGGUCACUUAAUGCUGAGAUGUGAUGACGAACCACCAAGGUGGUGAAGCAAUUGAUGCCCCGCUUCCAGGAAAAGCCUCUAAGCUUCAGGUUACCAACAAUCGUACCCCAAACCGACACAGGUGGUCAGGUAGAGAAUACUCAGGCGCUUGAGAGAACUCGGGUGAAGGAACUAGGCAAAAUGGUGCCGUAACUUCGGGAGAAGGCACGCUGGCGGUAGGUAAAGUCCCUCGCGGACGGCGCUGAAGCCAGUCGAAGAUACCAGCUGGCUGCAACUGUUUAUUAAAAACACAGCACUGUGCAAACACGAAAGUGGACGUAUACGGUGUGACGCCUGCCCGGUGCUGGAAGGUUAAUUGAUGGGGUCAGCCGCAAGGCGAAGCUCCUGAUCGAAGCCCCAGUAAACGGCGGCCGUAACUAUAACGGUCCUAAGGUAGCGAAAUUCCUUGUCGGGUAAGUUCCGACCUGCACGAAUGGCGUAAUGAUGGCCAGGCUGUCUCCACCCGAGACUCAGUGAAAUUGAACUCGCUGUGAAGAUGCAGUGUACCCGCGGCAAGACGGAAAGACCCCGUGAACCUUUACUAUAGCUUGACACUGAACAUUGAGCCUUGAUGUGUAGGAUAGGUGGGAGGCUUUGAAGUGUGGACGCCAGUCUGCAUGGAGCCAACCUUGAAAUACCACCCUUUAACGUUUGAUGUUCUAACCUAGGCCCAUAAACUGGGUCGGGGACCGUGUCUGGUGGGUAGUUUGACUGGGGCGGUCUCCUCCUAAAGAGUAACGGAGGAGCACGAAGGUUGGCUAAGCAUGGUCGGACAUCAUGCGGUUAGUGCAAAGGCAUAAGCCAGCUUGACUGCGAGAGUGACGGCUCGAGCAGGUACGAAAGUAGGUCUUAGUGAUCCGGUGGUUCUGAAUGGAAGGGCCAUCGCUCAACGGAUAAAAGGUACUCCGGGGAUAACAGGCUGAUACCGCCCAAGAGUUCAUAUCGACGGCGGUGUUUGGCACCUCGAUGUCGGCUCAUCACAUCCUGGGGCUGAAGUAGGUCCCAAGGGUAUGGCUGUUCGCCAUUUAAAGUGGUACGCGAGCUGGGUUUAGAACGUCGUGAGACAGUUCGGUCCCUAUCUGCCGUGGGCGUUGGAAGAUUGAGAGGGGUUGCUCCUAGUACGAGAGGACCGGAGUGAACGCACCACUGGUGUUCGGGUUGUCAUGCCAAUGGCAUUGCCCGGUAGCUAAGUGCGGAAGAGAUAACCGCUGAAAGCAUCUAAGCGGGAAACUUGCCUCGAGAUGAGUCUUCCCUGUCGCUUUAAGUGACCUAAAGGAACGUUUAAGACUAAGACGUUGAUAGGCUGGGUGUGUAAGCGUAGCGAUACGUUGAGCUAACCAGUACUAAUGAACCGUGAGGCUUAACCUG
rnacentral:rRNA from 1 species